rnacentral:rRNA from 1 species
AGCGAACGCUGGCGGCAGGCCUAACACAUGCAAGUCGAACGGAUCCUUCGGGAUUAGUGGCGGACGGGUGAGUAACACGUGGGAACGUGCCCUUUGGUUCGGAACAACUCAGGGAAACUUGAGCUAAUACCGGAUGUGCCCUUCUGGGGAAAGAUUUAUCGCCAUUGGAGCGGCCCGCGUCUGAUUAGCUAGUUGGUGAGGUAACGGCCCACCAAGGCGACGAUCAGUAGCUGGUCUGAGAGGAUGAUCAGCCACACUGGGACUGAGACACGGCCCAGACUCCUACGGGAGGCAGCAGUGGGGAACCUUGCGCAAUGGGCGAAAGCCUGACGCAGCCAUGCCGCGUGAAUGAUGAAGGUCUUAGGAUUGUAAAAUUCUUUCAGCGGGGACGAUAAUGACGGUACCCGCAGAAGAAGCUCCGGCUAACUUCGUG